rnacentral:rRNA from 1 species
AUUGAACGCUGGCGGAAUGCUUUACACAUGCAAGUCGAACGGUAGAGGGGGCAACCCCUCGAGAGUGGCGAACGGGUGAGUAAUAUAUCGGAACGUGCCCAGUCGUGGGGGAUAACGUAGCGAAAGUUACGCUAAUACCGCAUACGAUCUAAGGAUGAAAGCGGGGGAUCGCAAGACCUCGCGCGAUUGGAGCGGCCGAUUUCAGAUUAGGUAGUUGGUGGGGUAAAGGCUAACCAAGCCAACGAUCUGUAGCUGGUCUGAGAGGACGACCAGCCACACUGGACCUGAGACACGGUCCAGACUCCUACGGGAGGCAGCAGUGGGGAAUUUUGGACAAUGGACGCAAGUCUGAUCCAGCCAUUCCGCGUGCAGGAUGAAGGCCCUCGGGUUGUAAACUGCUUUUGUACGGAACGAAAAGGUCUCUCUUAAUACGGGGGACUCAUGACGGUACCGUAAGAAUAAGCACCGGCUAACUACGUGCCAGCAGCCGCGGUAA